rnacentral:misc_RNA from 1 species
AAAUGCGAUAAGUAAUGUGAAUUGCAGAAUUCAGUGAAUCAUCGAAUCUUUGAACGCACCUUGCGCUCCUUGGUAUUCCUUGGAUCAUGCCUGUUUGAGUAUCAUGAAAUCUUCAAAGUAAAUCUUUUGUUAACUCAAUUGGUUUCUACUUUGGUAUUGGAGGUCUUUGCAGCUUCACACCUGCUCCUCUUUGUUCAUUAGCUGGAUCUCAGUGUUAUGCUUGGUUCCACUCGGCGUGAUAAGUUAUCUAUCGCUGAGGACACUGUAAAAGGUGGCCAAGGUAAAUGCAGAUGAACCGCUUCUAAUAGUCCAUUGACUUGGACAAUACUUUUAUGAUCUGAUCUCAAAUCAGGUAGGACUACCCGCUGAACUUAAGC